GGUACAAUAGCCACAAGGCUUAAGAGGUGAGGGUGAGAAGAAAUCGUAUAAAAGGAGAGAGAAAAAGUGAAUGACAUCAGUCGAAUGAUCAUCUCCGACACGUCAACAACUGGAUUCUUCGUCGUAUUACCAGUUCGCAAUCCGGUUAACUUUGCCGUUGUGCUGCUAUUGGUUAUUGUAUCGUCGAUGGCUGGGUCGAUCAAGGGUGUACCGAUGUCUCUUGGGUAUGGCGGUUACCAAACCGCAACGCCUCCGCCUUACUGCAAAACAACAUACGCAACGACUAGUUACUACACCGAAGUUGCACAGUUAGGUGUACAGUUACACCACCACGGGUCAAGAUUAUUACACCACAACUUGUGCUGCUCCAAGCUACUACACCGAAGCCCCGAAGUUUUGUUCUUCCCCGAGGUACACAAGACACAACCAAAGCGCUAGAGUACUACACCACUCAGGUAUGCUGCCUCAACCUACGACACCGAGGCUUCAGCUUAGUCGAAUACUACACAGAAGCGCCCAAGUACGAUAGAAAUCAGUCGAGUGAGCAUCUCCGACACCCAACACGGCAGCCCCGAAAUUUCGAAUAAACUUCGUUUCAAUCAGUGGAACGGCAAAGAGUGAAGACGAAUUCUACUGCAAUCCCGUCGGAUUGAACGGUGAAGAUAACGGCGGCGUAGCAGUCGUACGUGGACACCGCGUCGUUAAACUUGACAUUGUCGGUCGGAAAGCCGAACUUGACGAUAGUCGUACCAUCACUUAAUACGACAAGUGUGUUAUUGCCACGGGUGGUAAACGAAACACUUUUCCAAUCCCUAAGCGGUGCCCCUAAUGAUUUCCAGGAGUACGUAACGCUGUUCCGCAACAUCGAUGGCGAUAACAAAGGCCGAGUCCCCCUAAAUAUUUGAGCCAAUGGACAACCGAGAAGAUGGAAGCGGACGGUGUUCAUUUGUUGCGAAAAGCUAAGAUUGAGGGUGCAAGUUUCGAAGAUAACAAGGUCGCAUUCGACGAAACGACGGUCAAAAGAUUAAAACUGACCAUGUCGUCGCUGCUAUCAGUUUGGACGAGAACACGGAUUUGGCUGUCGCUUCUGGUUUGGAAUUUGGAAAUAUAUUCCAAUUUUGGUGGUUAUCGAGUCAAUGCCGAGCUUGAAGCACAACCAAACGUUUGGGUGGCUGGAGAUGUUGCCUGUUUCUAUUAUUAUAUCAAAUUGGGCCGUCGUCGUGUGGAACAUCAUGACCAUGCUAGUGUAUAAGUAUAACUCUGCCCCGAGUUACAUCACCAAAGAGGCUGAGUACUACACCGAGGUUUUGAAGUACUACACCAUCAAGGUACCGGAGUACUCCACGACUACGUAUGCUGCCCCAGCCUAUUACACCGACGCCCUCAAGUACUACACCGAAAAGGCCGAAUAUUACACAACCGCGUAUGCU